rnacentral:rRNA from 1 species
ACUCCUACGGGAGGCAGCAGUGGGGAAUAUUGCACAAUGGGCGCAAGCCUGAUGCAGCCAUGCCGCGUGUAUGAAGAAGGCCUUGGGUUGUAAAGUACUUUCAGCAGUGAGGAAGGUGGGGUAUGUUAAUAGCAUAUUCUAUUUGACGUUAGCUGCAGAAGAAGCACCGGCUAACUCCGUGCCAGCAGCCGCGGUAAUACGGAGGGUGCGAGCGUUAAUCGGAAUUACUGGGCGUAAAGCGCAUGCAGGUGGUUGUUAAGUCAGAUGUGAAAGCCCGGGGCUCAACCUCGGAAUUGCAUUUGAAACUGGCAAACUAGAGUACUGUAGAGGGGGUAG